UCCGUAGGUGAACCUGCGGAAGGAUCAUUACCGAGUGCGGGCCCUCGCGGCCCAACCUCCCACCCUUGUCUCUAUACACCUGUUGCUUUGGCGGGCCCACCGGGGCCACCUGGUCGCCGGGGGACGCACGUCUCCGGGCCCGCGCCCGCCGAAGCGCUCUGUGAACCCUGAUGAAGAUGGGCUGUCUGAGUACUGUGAAAAUUGUCAAAACUUUCAACAAUGGAUCUCUUGGUUCCGGCAUCGAUGAAGAACGCAGCGAAAUGCGAUAAGUAAUGUGAAUUGCAGAAUUCCGUGAAUCAUCGAAUCUUUGAACGCACAUUGCGCCCCCUGGCAUUCCGGGGGGCAUGCCUGUCCGAGCGUCAUUUCUGCCCUCAAGCACGGCUUGUGUGUUGGGUGUGGUCCCCCCGGGGACCUGCCCGAAAGGCAGCGGCGACGUCCGUCUGGUCCUCGAGCGUAUGGGGCUCUGUCACUCGCUCGGGAAGGACCUGCGGGGGUUGGUCACCACCAUGUUUUACCACGGUUGACCUCGGAUCAGGUAGGAGUUACCCGCUGAACUUAAGCAUAUCAAUAAGCGGAGGA
rnacentral:sRNA from 1 species